ensembl:lncRNA
CCAGGAAAUAGUGAGGGACAGGGAAGCCUGGCAUACUGCAGUCCCUGGGGUCACAAAGAGUCAGACAUGACUGAGCGACUGAACAAUAGCAACAACUGUUACUCACAUUAAUAGCUCUCCUCUCCCCUGUGGACUCACAAACCCACCUCCUAUCCCAAGGAAUCUCUGGCAACACUCUAGAAUGACCUCACUGUGCUCUGGAUUGGCUAAGAUCUUCAAAAGCCAACAAAGAAGAAACAACGUGAAUUAGCUUUUUCUUCAUUCUUGCGGCUGCCUUCUUGCCGUUUUCUGAGGGCUGUGAGGAGGUGUGCGCCAGCUGAAGCGCGCCUGCUGAAGCUCUCCUGCUGCAACGGACUGCAAAGAAGCGUGGCCGAGAGGAGCUAACCCUCACACAAGGUCAGGGGCAGUGACCGAGAGGAGCUACCCCACUUCCGAGGUCAGGGGAGGCGGCCGAGAGGAGCUACCACACGUCCAAGGAGCGGUGGCUGUGUGGGCGCACGACGGCGGAGAGGAGCUACUCUACGUUCAAGGUCAGACGGGCGGCAGUGAGGAGAUACCCCUCAUCCAAGGUAAGGAGCAGCGGCUGCGCUUUGCUAGAGCAGUCGUGAAAAGACACCCCAUGCCCAAGGCAAGAGAAACCCAACUGAGAUACCCCACGUCCAAGGACUCCAGGAGAGAGGGAGGCAGUUUUUGCUGAAGUUCCUUGCUCCUCUGGAGGCCCAUCCUCAUCAUGUCUUCUUCAGAGGGUAAGGAGCAGCGACUGUGCUUUGCUGGAGCAUCCGUGAAAAGAUACCCCACUCCCAAGGUUUUGGCCAUUCAGCACAGAUCUGGAAGCCCUUCCCAGUGACCGCCACUCCUGGAACAGGUUUUCUUUAUGAUUUGCUCCUGACGGAAUGACUGAACAUUUACUUAGGCUUGAGAUAUGAUCUUCACUUUGUUUGAGAACUUGAUGGUUUUACUUCAGAAAUAUUUGACAAAUUUUAAAAGAGGCUAUGAAAGGCAGCCACCUGUGGCCACUAGACCAAAUCUUCCUGGACUAUUGAGAUUUAUUAGAAGAACAGCUCUCUGCAGUGUCAACAAAUCUUGAAUCUCUGACAAAUGGACAGUGUGCAAGCUGAGGAUUAUUACCAUCAUGAAUUCACACACCCACAGAAACUUUGUCUAAUUAUGUCAGUCUUUGGGUUUGCACAUUUCUUCCCAAUGCUAGAAGGGAAGGUUAUACUUACCCUUAAGAGCUAUGCUGCUAAAUGAGAGAACUAGCAAAAUUAGCCUUUAGAAAUCUUGAAACACUCUCCUUCCUUAUCACCUUCCUCAACUAACUGGCUUUGUUUCCCUCUGUCCUACCUGCUUAUAUUAAAUGAAACACACGAUCCUUUUGAGGAAAUUGCUACAUCUUCUAAAUCAGUUGGAACCAUUGGUUUUCCUCUGCUCCUCCACCUCUCAAAAAUCAGAGUGAUUUUGGUUCCCAACAUUUUUUUGCUUUCUUCUGAGCACUUAAGCAAUUAAAUUAAGAAAGAAUUCAGAAACAAUAGAUGGUAGAAGAGGCUUUAUGUAGAAAGAAAAUAAAAGAUUAAAGUGAGG